AAAACUAAACAAUGCAUCAUACACAUCUAGUCAAGAGCUU
rnacentral:sRNA from 1 species